AUAAGAUUUAGUGAAUCAAUAAAACAUGGAUAUAACAUGGCACUUUGCUUAUGGAGCUUUGAUAUCUACUUGGGAAAGGAGACAAGACAGAUAUGAGUUGACCAAAUGCAGGGCACUUUUCUCUUGCCUAGAUUGGGGGACACAGGCACCAUGGGGAUGAAGAUCCUGUUGCUUGGAGAAAGGACACUAAAAAGUUAAAGUGGCUCCUGCUCUGGGCUUCAUCCCCGCCUACCUCCUCAAUCCCCAGAUCUCUUUUAGUGUCCUCAGAAGGAAGACGGACACUUCGUGGCUGGGAACAAUGGUACAGAUUUCAGUAUCAUGCCACAACUGGGGGUCAGUGUUUCUUUUCCAGAACCCCUCCAGCCAAGGACUUCUGAUCUGAAGAUGCUCUGUAGCCUUCCCGCUCUACGGAGGCUGCAGGCUGGGGGCUCCCCCCACACUACACUGGGCAACUGGUUCCCGCUCCCCGGACCCUGCACCAGUAGCCACAACGGAGGGUACACCUUUUAUUGAGCAUUCCUGGCUGGAACGAGGAGGUUGCAUGUUAGCUCUGCAGAAAGGCAUUUAGUUUCACUUUCACUUCUAUUUUCAGACAGAGAAUUCCCUACAGGGGGACAUAAGACACAGCUUCUUCUAUAUUUUUCUCCCUCGUGCGCCUGUGACUGCAUAUUUACCUUUCUUCCCGGGUUCCCAGCGACCUUUUGCGCCACUAUCUGGCUCUGCAUCUUGUCAUUGCGCACGCACCUCACGGGCGCCAUCCUACUAAGGUACUAUACCAAAGCCCGGAAAACUUCUCUGGCGGCCAUUUGGGAUCCGCAUUUCUCCAGCACUGAGUUUCCAGCCUCACUGUCUCUCACAGGGAACAACAGGGCACCAUUCCUUCGUACCUUGGUGAACAGAUCACACUCUAAGGGAGAGGUGGUUCACUCCUCUGGACUCUCCUAAUAUCCCCCAAUAUCCUUACUGGGUGGCACUACAUAGUAUAGCCAUGACAGGCAGGACGGAUGACCAGUCCCUUCCCAAGCAGGUAACUGCACGUACCACCAAUGCAAUUUCGUAUUUGGCAUGUGCUACUUGCAAACCUAAAUUUGCUAGCGUUUUGGCUGAGCCAAUAUAUGAAGCCUGUAAGCCUGUAGCAGUCACUGCACAAUUACAAUCCCACACAGCCCUACCAGCCAGCUCUGCUUCGGCUAAUCAAACGAGCUCGGAUUCUGAAUUGGUGUGCUAUCUCUAGCGGGUCUACAGAACCUAGCCAGAAUACCAGAGACUCUAGAUAAGGUCCUACAGCACCUAUCUACACAGCCUCACAGACCGGUCACUCAGCAGUCGGCCACAAAGCGACCUCCCCUUUCCCCACCUGUAUCGCCUGAUGAACAGGUAGAGGCAUCAGGGGAAGAGGGACAGAUCCUAUCCGGAGAUGAAUGCCCCUAGAUCACAAAGAGAGGUUGAGAGCCUGAUUCAGGCAGUAUUACAGGCACUAUGUCUAGUAGACAACCCGCCUUCAGCAGAGCCAACCAAAAACAUUUUCAAGAGUCAAGAAGUCCUUUGGUCUUCACCCCCAGCAGUGGACCCACCAGUCUCGAUACUGUCAAAGACCACCACCAUUCCAGAACACAAUGCGACUUCCUUUAAGGAUCCUGUCGACAAACAUCUUGAGGGUUUCUGCAAGGCAAUUUCACAGCAGCAGGCGGAGCUCUCUGACCUAUUUUGCCACCGCAUGGGUAUCCAGGGCAAUGGAGGUUUGGGUGGAACAGGUGGCCCAACUCAUUAGCUCAGAAGGCCCCUCCACAGACCUCCUUCCAGCUCAGAUAGCGGACACAAACACACAUAUAUAUGCGAAGUGGCCUUGGAUGCGGUUAAACUCAAUGCAAGGACUUUGGCGCACAAUCCAUUGCAGCCAGACGUUUCCUUUGACUAAAGAAAUGGUCAACAGAUCUUACCUCAAAGUGGUCUCUCUCAGAUUUUCUCCCAUUUCUCGGAAAACAACUUUUUGGUACUGAACCAGAGAAGGUAAUUUCUCAAGCUACAGGAAGCAAGAGCACUUAACUUCCACAAAACAGACCCAAAAGGACUACCUUCAAAAGGCAACCAUUUUUUCAUCACCAAAAUCAGAGGCAAAGGUCCCAACAUGAAAAACAACAAGCUCCAACCCGCCCCAGAUUCCAGUGAAGGGAGAGCACUUCUUGGUCAGGAAGCAGAGCUGCACCUAAGCCCAUACAGGACAAACAGCCUCCAUAUGAGGAGUUGCCCACCCCCGAAAGCUCCCUUAGGCGGACGCUUAAGUCAGUUUUGGGAGGUGUGACGGCAGAGAGUACUGGACCCCUGGGUCCUACAGAUCAUAUCCCAGGGCUAUCUCAUAGAAUUCGCUCAUAUCGGAGAACCCAGGCACUCAGUGUUCCAAGGGGUUCUACAUGCCCUGACCGCCUCUGAGGUAGUACAGGCGGUCCCUCAAAGGGAAAGGGGUUUUGGUUUCUACUUAAACCUAUUUAUGUUACCAAAAAAUGACAGAUCUUUUCGCCCAGUGCUAGACCUAAAGGCACUAAAGUACAGUGUAAAGAAGCAACACUUUAAUAUGGAAUCCAUUGUCAGUUCUAAUGUCCCUGGACUUAGAGAAUUUGAUGGUGGUGAUUGACAUCAAAGAUGCACACUUGCAUCCCAACCACCACCAGUGUUCCUUCGCUUUUCAGUGGCAGGAGAACAUUGGCAAUUUGUGGCACUCCCCUUCGGACUAUCCUCCGCGCCAAGGGUAUUCACCAAGGUCAUGCAUGCGGCUCUAGAGGACCUGCGACUGGCACUGGCCGCAACUCCUCUCCAGACAGUGAUGCAAAUACUAACGCUGUUAGGCUGGCAGAUAAACUUCCAAAAAUCUUGACUCAUACCUUCUCAGAAUACAGAUUAUUUAGGGCUUGUCCUAAAUUCUUCAGUGGGAAGAGCCUUCCUUCCCCAAUCCAAGAUCACCUCAAUGCAGGGGCUCCUGUCCGUUCUGCAGAAAGAGGAUCAGGUGCCUUUACGAUUUGCCAUGAGAGUGCUGGGGACUAUGGUGUCAUCCCGCAAUUCCAUACACGCAGCUCCACACCAGAGCCUUACAGAGGAGGAACCGAGCGGACCAAAACCACAGGAUUCCCCUAUCAGAACUAGUUUGAACCUAAAUCAAUUAGUGGCUUCGACCAACAGCACUUCAGUCAGGAAAACCCUUCCUCAAUCACCAGUGGAGAGUCAUCACAACAGAUGCCAGUCUACAAGGUUGGGGAGGAGUAUUGGGAGACCUAACAGUGCAGGGAUGUUGGUCACAGAAAACAACUACUCCCCAUCAUCAUACUGGAAUUAAGAGCAAUACAACCUCUGAUUGCUCCACUGGUCAGACCGACUUCAAGAUCUACUUGUAAGAAUACAGUCAGACAAUGUAACAGUGGUGGCUUACAUCAACCACAGGAGGCACAAGAAGUCAAGCGGCCCUCCCAGAAGUGGACAAUUGGGAUAGCAGAUUUUCUCAGCCGAGAGACCUUAGAUCAGGGCGAGUGAAGCCUACACCCAGAGGUUUGAUUCUGGCAAGGUGGGGCACUCUGGAAGUAGACUUAAUGGCAUCCAGCUACAACAACAAGCUUCCGAGGUUCAUCGCAAGAAGCAAUGACCCGCUGGCCCUAGCAGUGGACACACUGGUGGUUCCGUGGCAGUUUCACCUAGCAUAUGUCUUCCCACCGCUGGUACUUCUGCCAAGGGUAAUCAAGAAAAGACAAGAAAGGGUAAAAACACUUCUAGUGACACCCUACUGGCCACACCGCACUUGGUUCGCAGAGUUUAUAAGUUAUCAGUGGACGCACCAUUCCACUCUAGACAGAAGGGAUCUGUUAUCUCAGGGACUGAUCUUCCACCCAAGUUGACCAUGGCUGGCUUUAACGGCAUGGCAUUUAAAGCCCUAAUCCUAGCCAGAUCAGGAGUUCCAA